GAAUCCAUGUGUUGGAACUCGGUGUAGGAAUGUAUCUGUUUUCUAUCGGAUGCUAUGACGCGUUAUUUGGGAAGAAUCAUUAUUAUCUAUACCUUUUCGCGCAAGCAUUCGCCUUCUUCAUCGCUGGAUGUGGGCAGAUUGGGACAGUGGUGCCUAACUAUUGAAUGGAAAAUGGAUUGAUCGAGCUACAAACUGCUCGAGAAUAAGAUGAUGAUUUUAUAUUUUUUUCUUGGCUACUCUUUAAUUUCUUCCUGGUGUGAAUAGAGAGAAUUGAUGAUACGAUUGUUACAGAAGAUGGUGUGUGUAGUUGUGGAAGAUAUGGAUACCUAUAGUAAAGAAGAAUAUAUAUAUUUUCAAGGGGGGUUUUCAUAUUCCUCAAAGACAAUACAUCAUUUCUUGCAAGACAAAAGCUUUUGAUUCCAAUUUCUUUGUAUCAAAUUAUUGUAUUGUACAAAUAUGGAGGUACAUGAUAAAGGAAGUCAUAGUUUCCGAUGCUCCGCCGCCUUUCAAUAAUGCCUGAGAUCUGGUUUCCGCCAUAGUUUCCGAUCGCUUCGCCACCGUUUCCGAGGAAAGAAUGUCUCUGAUACCACUGAUAAAAGAAGUCACUCCUUUAUGAUCGAUCUAAUGUUCUUGAAACACCAAAUCGUAGCUCUCGAGUAAUAGAUCUAUAAGAGAGAAAGAUCUAAAUCCUCAAAUAACAAUCCAUGAAUCGAUAUUAGAAUUCCAGAGGUUUUUAAGAAAGUUUUACAAAUGAUUUCUGAAUGAACUGAAUAGAGUACGCAGACUCUGUUUUAUCUACUCCAAAAGAUGAACUCCUCCGAUCAGCUGGCGCGAAGCCGUUGUAACAAACUCUUAACUUCUCCCUUCCUCCACUAGUUACUCAACACGUGUCUCUUACUUCUCCUGUAUCAGUACACGAUAAUCACAUUCUAUGAAAUAGCUUGCAACAUGCAGGAUUUGAAAGAAUUGUCAUCUUUUGCAUCUUUUAUUCAAACAAACGUUGCCUUUGUGGUCGCUACUUCUAUAAUGUUUGAAGGUUUUCUUUCGAAUGAGAAAGAAUGAUAAAUUGUUUUCUUUAUUGCAUAUAGUGGGCCAUAUAGUGGUAACUGAACGUUUAUAUUGUUUGGUUUCUUCAGUUCAGUUGAAACAUAGUUUCUAGAUGACCAAAUUUUUAUGGGUUUGGACUAAAAAAAAAUUACUAAACCACCAUACACAGAAUAAAACUGGAUCUACAAAAAAAUUGCAAAUUUGCAAUCAUAUCAAAAAUGAUAUUAGUGUAAGUCUUUUUAAUCUAGAUUGGACAUGUAACAAGGUUCAGAAAAGGAAAAAAACAAUUUGCAGGCUGAACAGUGACUAAUUACAUAUACUUUGUGUGUUAAUAAUGUUUUUUUAAUACUAUUAAAUUAUGACUUUUGAAUGUAAGACUAAUUGGAGAGGGUAGAGAUGGGUCAUAUUAAAUUAAUACAUAUAUCUAAGAUUAAAACCUAUGAACGUAUUAUAAGAUAUCAUAAACUAAUAGCACAUGAGUUGAUCACUGUUUUAAGAGAAUCUUAUUUUACAGUAAUUUAAAAGCAUGGGUUUAUUUAUUUAAUAAGAAAAUUAUGUUUACAUAAAGAAAGUUUUUAUUACAUUAACAGAAGUGUCGGUGGGUGUUUUAUACUUUUAUUGAUAGGUCCCAAUAUAACCUAACCUAGCGGAUCUUGAUGUCGACGUAUCGAUUUUGUUCGUGAUCUUCGUGCUCUAGCUUUAAAAUUUUAAAUGUGGAGCCACUUUCUUUUGCAAAUAGUUUUUAUUAGUACUAACAAAUUAUUUUUGAAUGAUCUAGAGGCAUAUUCCAUAUAAUAUAGGCAAUAUCCCUUCUAACAAAUCCCAUAUUAAAUAGAAGAAAACAUUUCGGGAAAUAUAAGAAAACAUCAAGGAAUAUAAAGUUUAAUAUUUUGUUGUCCUUUGUGUUAGGUAUGCCUGCAGUAGGAGUUGGUAAAUAUUUGGUUUGUGUGUCUGGCUUUUUGUUGAUUUUUGAUGAAAAAUAUGCAUUGUCCACACAUUUUCAACAGAGUGAUGUUUUUCCACAUUAGUCAAUAGAUUGUCCACCAGUGAAUCUAUAACUUCUGGCAUUCAAAAGCUGCAGCGUAUUUAGCUUUGAACGAUCUAGCCUUCAUAAAAUAAACACCCGAAUUUUGAAGUAAUUUCUUCGAAUAAAAAAUAAGUUUUGCAUGCAAACAUUCAUCGACAUAUUAAUAUUUAGAAAACCAAAAUAUAAAUAAUCAGAUUAGAACAGAGCUUAGUGUUUAGUGGCGUUGCUUCACUGGCAUCGUGGUCGUGUCCCAUAAUUAGUGCAGAGAACAUAUAGGGAAGGGGCUUGUUUUGUCAUUUAGUAAAUAUAGUAUUAGGUAGAUCAGUCAUUUUUGUUAGUAGAUACGCCACGUGUACUUGCCAGCGCCCUCUAUCUUCCAUGUGCAAUAUCUGGGUCCCACACUGGUCUCUUCUCUACUAGUCUCUGUCACUCUCAUCACUCACUUUUCUUUUUCAAGUAAAAUUUGUUUGUUUUUUUUUACUUCCAGUACUAAUACAACCAGCUAUUGAAACUCGCUUUUAUUUUAUUAACGAUGUCUUUUAGUCUCACGAGCUAUUUUAUUUUAGACAAAAAAAAUAGUAAUAAUAAAAAGAAAUCAUGUGAACUUGUGAAGUAGAUCGACAAAAUCUAACGAGUUGUUGAAAUCUAAUUGGGGGAGAUCAGAAGAGUCUGAGCUGUCUAUAGUUUUUUUUUUUAGCUGUCUAUAGUUUGAUAAUUGAAAAUAUUUAUUUCAAUGUCACCAACUGGUUUUUAAUGUCUUCAUCAAUACCACAUUAAUUGAUUGUUUGCUACGCAAAUAUUAAUUGAAAUCCAUUAUUCAAUUUUUGUUCCUUCUAAUUUUGCAGUAAAUUCGGAUGAAUGUUUAAUGACAAGAAUGCAAGAAAUGUCGUUGGAUUAUCAUUUUACGGUCGAACAAGAAGUUGGUUCUUCUACAUACGCAUUCUUCGGUUUCAACGGUACUUACUUUGUUUCUUUUCAUUAUAUAUUGUUGUCUUAUUCAAGUUUCAUAACAUUUGCUUACUAUCAUUUUAGGGACUGCGGGAAUAUGGAGAAUAUCGGCAUUAAACGAAGCUGGUGGUUGGAAAGAUAGAACGACCGUAGAAGAUAUGGAUUUGGCCGUUCGAGCUAGUCUCAAGGGUUGGAAAUUUUUGUACCUUGGUUCUUUGAAGGUAUACUUUGCCUCUUCAUGAUUCAACAAUGUGUAUGUAUUAGUGGUUGAUAUGCAAAUAGUUUUAUUGAUACAUGUGGUUGUUAAAUAUUAUAGGUUAAAAACGAGUUACCAAGUACAUUCAAGGCGUAUAGGUAUCAACAGCACAGGUGGUCAUGUGGUCCAGCAAAUCUUUUCAGGAAAAUGGCAUUUGAAAUCAUGACCAACAAGGUUUUUACUUUAAACUCUUUUCUUCUCCCUCCACACUAAAAUAGAAAAAUGAACUGGUUAAUUCAGUAAGUUAACCAAUACUUACAUUCAACAUAUCAAACCCAAAAACGUUUCUCUAGUUUUGUAGUCUUGGUUGGUCUCCACAUUUAUUUAAGUUCCCGUUUAAAUAGAUUUUUUUUUCUUUUUGGCAGAACGUGACAUUAUGGAAGAAAGUUCAUGUGAUAUAUAGCUUCUUCGUGGUGAGAAAGAUCGUGGCACACAUUGUUACAUUCAUCUUCUAUUGUGUGGUCUUACCGGCUACGGUUCUUGUACCUGAAGUUAUUGUACCUAAAUGGGGAGCGGUUUACAUUCCGUCCAUCAUUACUCUCCUCAACGCCGUCGGUACACCUAGGUAAAUAAAUAUCCCAAAGAGUUUCUUACGGCUCAAGUGACGUCUCGUUUAGCCUCUCAUUGUUUGUUACACGUAUCUUAUAGGUCACUCCAUCUCAUGGUAUUUUGGAUUCUGUUCGAGAAUGUGAUGUCUCUUCACAGAACAAAAGCUACUUUCAUCGGUUUACUCGAAGGAGGAAGAGUUAACGAGUGGAUUGUCACUGAGAAGCUCGGUGAUCUCAAGGCUAAGUCAGCAACCAAGGCUCCAAAGAAGCUUCGUUUUAGAUUUGGAGAUAGGUAAGCUUCUCCACGUUUCCUAUAGGUCAGUGAAUCUUAUUUGCAGUUUUGUUUCAUUCUAAUACCUUUUCUUUGGCAGAAUCCAUGUCUUGGAACUUGGUGUAGGAAUGUAUCUGUUUUCUAUCGGAUGCUAUGACGCGUUAUUUGGGAAGAAUCAUUAUUAUCUAUACCUUUUCGCGCAAGCAAUCGCCUUCUUCAUCGCUGGAUGUGGGCAGAUUGGGACAGUGGUGCCUAACUAUUGAAUGGAAAAUGGAUUUAUCGAGCGACAAACGUACUGCUCGAGAAUAAGAUGAUGAUUUUAUAUUUUUUCUUGGCUACUCUUUAAUUUCUUCCUGGUGUGAAUAGAGAGAAUUGAUGAUACGAUUGUUACAGAAGAUGGUGUGUGUAGUUGUGGAAGAUAUGGAUAC
rnacentral:lncRNA from 1 species